rnacentral:rRNA from 1 species
GCGGGGGGACCGCAAGGCCUCGCGCGAUUGGAUGAGCAUGCGUCCCAUUAGUUAGUUGGUAAGGUAACGGCUUACCAAGACAAUGAUGGUAGGGGUCCUGAGAGGGAGAUCCCCCCGCACUGGUACUGAGACACGGACCAGACUCCUACGGGAGGCAGCAGUGAGGAAUAUUGGACAAUGGGCGAAAGCCUGAUCCAGCAAUGCCGCGUGAGUGAUGAAGGCCUUAGGGUUGUAAAGCUCUUUUACCCGAGAUGAUAAUGACAGUAUCGGGAGAAUAAGCUCCGGCUAACUACGUG